rnacentral:tRNA from 1 species
GUUUCCGUAGAAUAAUGGUUAUCACGUUUGCCUAACACGCAGAAGGUACCAGGUUCGAAACCGGGUGGAAACA